GCUUCCGGUACAGUGGUUGAAACCAUAUACACAUGAAACUCUCGUUGAGCUUGGUCAGAAAGGUGUGAGGAGUCUUUUAGCUGUUCCAGUGAGCUUUGUGAGUGAGCACAUAGAGACCCUUGAAGAAAUUGACAUGGAGUACAGGGAGUUUGGACGGUGCAUGUGAUCAAGUGGGGUAAUAUGUGACAGUGUGAGCAUAGGCCCCUCUCCAAUUCCACCAACCUUUUGCUUUGGUUUUUGGUUCAUUAAAUACAAACCAGUAAAACCACGCAAUCCAAAAGGAAACAAACACAUGUUUUUGGCUUUCAUUUGAUUCCUUUUCAACUCAAAUCCCCAACGUUACGUAGGAAUUUCUCCCUUUGACAUAUUAAUUAUACUUAUGCCAUUUUAUUCUUAUUUUUUAUUUUUUCUUGCUCACAUCCAGUAAUUGAAUAUUUGGUCGACCUUCCUUGCUUAUCUUAUCUAUUUCAUGGAUUACUUGAAAAUUUCGGAAUUAAAAUCAAUAUUUCUAGUGGCCUACAUUUAAUUUUCCAAUGCACUGACAUCAUUGCUUGCAGCUUAUGUUAUCUUUAGUCGUGUUAUCCUUAAGUCAUUGCUUAAGUAGAAAAAAGAUAUUCUAUUAUUAUAAUAUUAAUAAUUAAUAGUUCUAUUACUAGUUCUAUUACUAAUGUAUGAGUAUAUGCAUGCAUUAAGGAUGGUUCUGAAUCGGUAAUGAUGUGCUUGAGGUGUUGUGUCAACAGCAGAGUAAUAUGGAUAUCUCAAAAUAGCUUGUCUCUAAUGAAUAUAGAUUGUAUCUAAUAUUUCAUUAUUGUUUAUAGGUUUCUGAUUA